GACGAACGCUGGCGGCGUGCCUAAUACAUGCAAGUAGAACGCACAGUUUAUACCGUAGCUUGCUACACCAUAAACUGUGAGUUGCGAACGGGUGAGUAACGCGUAGGUAACCUGCCUGGUAGCGGGGGAUAACUAUUGGAAACGAUAGCUAAUACCGCAUAAUAUUGAUUAUUGCAUGAUAAUUGAUUGAAAGGUGCAAUUGCAUCACUACCAGAUGGACCUGCGUUGUAUUAGCUAGUAGGUGAGGUAACGGCUCACCUAGGCGACGAUACAUAGCCGACCUGAGAGGGUGAUCGGCCACACUGGGACUGAGACACGGCCCAGACUCCUACGGGAGGCAGCAGUAGGGAAUCUUCGGCAAUGGACGAAAGUCUGACCGAGCAACGCCGCGUGAGUGAAGAAGGUUUUCGGAUCGUAAAGCUCUGUUGUAAGAGAAGAACGGGUGUGAGAGNGGAAAGUUCACACNGNGACGG
rnacentral:rRNA from 1 species